rnacentral:lncRNA from 1 species
UGGAAUCUAGAGCUGUGAGCAGUUGUCAUUUUCACCAGAGGGAGAAGAAGCAUUCCCUGCCCCAAAGUGUCCAGGGGGUUUAUGGUUCAAUUUCUGCAGGCAUCCAGGAAUUAAUGUCACCUCUACAGGCCUAUAAAAUGCUGCUACAGAAGUCACUUUUUUCCCUACCGAGUGAAUAAAUUACAAGUCCUGGAGCAGCGCUUGGUGUGCUGUAACUCUUGGCUAUAACAUCUAUGAGAUAUGUUUAAACUGAAUGAUCCAUGCUCAGAGGAGUGAUGGUUUCUUUUCUAGCCCUCUUGUUAUUGCAGACAGUACCAUUGAAAUAGACCAUGAAGACAAAGGCUUUCAAGUGGGGUGGUACAAUUCAAGAGAGGAUACUGAUGAAAUUGCACUCAAACCUGAGUCUGAACAAGUCAGCAGAGCUCAGCUUUUGGGAGUGAGUCAUAUUAAAACCAAGCAUAUG